CCUUUGAUGACGACUGGCGCACGGGUGAGUAACGCGUAUCCAACCUUCCCAUACUACGGGAUAACCCGUUGAAAGACGGCCUAAUACCGUAUGAUAUCGUUUGCUGACAUCAAAUAGCGAUUAAAGGUUUAGCGGUUAUGGAUGGGGAUGCGUCUGAUUAGCUUGUUGGCGGGGUAACGGCCCACCAAGGCAACGAUCAGUAGGGGUUCUGAGAGGAAGGUCCCCCACAUUGGAACUGAGACACGGUCCAAACUCCUACGGGAGGCAGCAGCC
rnacentral:rRNA from 1 species